rnacentral:rRNA from 1 species
UACGGAGGGUGCAAGCGUUAUCCGGAUUUACUGGGUUUAAAGGGUGUGUAGGCGGGUCUUUAAGUCCGUGGGGAAAUCUCCGAGCUCAACUUGGAAACUGCCAUUGAUACUAUUGAUCUUGAAUUUUGUUGAGGUAGGCGGAAUAAGUCAUGUAGCGGUGAAAUGCAUAGAUAUGACUUAGAACACCAAUUGCGAAGGCAGCUUGCUAAACAAAUAUUGACGCUGAGGCACGAAAGCGUGGGGAUCAAACAGG